CUGAUGUUAGCGGCGGACGGGUGAGUAACACGUGGAUAACCUACCUAUAAGACUGGGAUAACUUCGGGAAACCGGAGCUAAUACCGGAUAAUAUUUUGAACCGCAUGGUUCAAAAGUGAAAGACGGUCUUGCUGUCACUUAUAGAUGGAUCCGCGCUGCAUUAGCUAGUUGGUAAGGUAACGGCUUACCAAGGCAACGAUGCAUAGCCGACCUGAGAGGGUGAUCGGCCACACUGGAACUGAGACACGGUCCAGACUCCUACGGGAGGCAGCAGUAGGGAAUCUUCCGCAAUGGGCGAAAGCCUGACGGAGCAACGCCGCGUGAGUGAUGAAGGUCUUCGGAUCGUAAAACUCUGUUAUUAGGGAAGAACAUAUGUGUAAGUAACUGUGCACAUCUUGACGGUACCUAAUCAGAAAGCCACGGCUAACUACGUGCCAGCAGCCGCGGUAAUACGUAGGUGGCAAGCGUUAUCCGGAAUUAUUGGGCGUAAAGCGCGCGUAGGCGGUUUUUUAAGUCUGAUGUGAAAGCCCACGGCUCAACCGUGGAGGGUCAUUGGAAACUGGAAAACUUGAGUGCAGAAGAGGAAAGUGGAAUUCCAUGUGUAGCGGUGAAAUGCGCAGAGAUAUGGAGGAACACCAGUGGCGAAGGCGACUUUCUGGUCUGUAACUGACGCUGAUGUGCGAAAGCGUGGGGAUCAAACAGGAUUAGAUACCCUGGUAGUCCACGCCGUAAACGAUGAGUGCUAAGUGUUAGGGGGUUUCCGCCCCUUAGUGCUGCAGCUAACGCAUUAAGCACUCCGCCUGGGGAGUACGACCGCAAGGUUGAAACUCAAAGGAAUUGACGGGGACCCGCACAAGCGGUGGAGCAUGUGGUUUAAUUCGAAGCAACGCGAAGAACCUUACCAAAUCUUGACAUCCUUUGACAACUCUA
rnacentral:rRNA from 1 species